CAGGAAAUGACAGAGAGGAACAAGUUAAAACAAAAUCUUCAAAACCUUUGACACUACCCAGAUGGCCUGUGAAAUCUGACAUGGUAUAAAAGAAUGAAAAGAGACAUGACCUGCCUUCCAGAAAUUUCACGAGAAAGAUGAGACGGACACAGAUAAAAAUAUGAAUGCACACAGGAAAAAAAAUAUAUAUGGUCCAAGUCAUGGCUUUUGAUGAACAAGAGAAAAUCAUGGCCACAUCAAGGAAGGCGUCAUCAUUCAUGCCUCUAAGGCUCUUUGGUAGGUUCAGCUAUCACAGCAACCUCCUCACCUGGUCUCCUGGGACAGCCUCCUCUCUCCAGCACCCUAAUUCACCAGCACCCACCUGAUGGUACCACCAUGAACCCCUGAUGGCAAAGUUUUUAGAUAAAGCUUCUCCACUUCCUGGCUACAAGUUUUCACAUA